AGGCAGCAUUUACAUGUGUAUAUCGGCCUGAGGCACCACCAGGCAAAACUCUUGAAAUCGAAUUUCUCGCACAGUGUACGCUGUGCUGUGUGUAUGAACUGACGGGAGCAGUAGAACACUCACUCUCAACAUAUCCAGCCAGCUAGCCUGUCGAGUCAGUAGUCGUCAGUAAUCAGUAUACGACCAGAGGCUAGUGUGUUUUGUGUCGCGUCAGAUUGAAGAGGCAUACCUACAUUUUGGUGAAUGAAAGCUGAAGCAUACAGAGAUUUUUGGAAUUAUCUUCAGCUUUUUCUGUUCAAAACUUAGGAAUAACUCUUUGAAAGGGCGGCUGGUGCUAGAUUAGUUGAAUUGUGCGUGAUUGAUUGGAUUUUUCCCGGAAGUGAUCUGCCAUUGGCCUAGGUGGUGCCCGGAAGAUGUGUACGUGUGUGAUUGAAAGAAAUGAAAGAUAAAAUAGUAAAAUCCAAUUCGGUUUAAUGUUACGUUGGGUUGCCUCACCAACCUUUCAAUAUUACUAAUGAAUUGUGAAAAUAGUUCCAAUUUUACGCAGUUUUAGUGGCUAAUGAGCGAAUAAUACGGAGCGAAAAGUAAUCGGAACCCCUAAAGUUGUGAGCGAAACGAGAAAGAGCGUAAAGAUGUAAUUUUUGGAACGGCCAGUGAGCCACUAGAGAAGAAGAAAAGUGAUUGUCCAAUUCCAACAAACGGAGGAGAGCAUGAAGUGUCUGUGUGUCAAAACGGAGUAACAGGAAAAGAAGUGCACGAAAAAAACAAGUGAAGAGGAAGCAGAAGAAACAGAGUCCAGAGUUGAUUGGAGUUUCUCGAAGUUGGACACGAAAACUGUGUGUAUAGCUGAACUGGUGCGACGUAAACAUUGCGUGGAAUUUUUUUUCUUCAGAUCUAAAGUGUAUUGUGUGAAUUGUACUGUAUUACUCGCACGGGAAACAGUUCCCAAUUUAACAAACUAUCAGCUCGGAGCCUGUAUCCAUCAAUCGAACGUGCGUUAAUAUCGAUAAUUGCCCUAGGAGUAAAUUUUUGCACAGUUUUCGAACAGAAGAUCAACUACCUGAAGCUCAAUUUGUGCAUCAUAAUUGCUUUCUUCACGCGGUGACCAUGGGCUAACAAAAAGAAAAAAAGAAACAGAGAGAAUCCAACUAAUUUAUUCGGAUAUUUUUCAUCGAAAACAAACAAACUUUCUCCCGCGAGCGGUAGCAGACAGUAGACGGAUUGGUGGCGAAGAACAAAGAAGCGGCAAAGCUCUCGGCUUCCGGAAUUCGAUGACCGUCACCGGAUUCUCCAAGGCCUUCGCCGCUGUUUCGUCCGUCUGCCGGCAGCGUAUCCGCUGUCAGCAUAUGAAAAAAUGGCACUCUCCAACCCAGUCGGCACAGGUGCUGCGGAACGUCGUUCUUUAUCACACCCAACGGUAAUCAGUGCAGCUAGCCAAGUGGAUGAAAAUCAUCAGAAGCAAGCAUUUCUUUGCCUAGUGGUGGUAGCCCCCCUGGCGGUGGCAGUGAAGUGAAGUGUCGAAGGGAAUCGCACAAUCGUUUUUCCUCAUCUCAACCUUUGUUCCACCUGUGUACGUGCAUAUGUUGUGCUCUUGAUAUUCUGCUAUUGGUUCCUUUUGAGUGAUUUCUUCAUUUAUCAAUGCUGUGCCUGUUGUGCGCCAACGAUUAGUGUUUGUGUCAAUUCGAGAAGUGCAGAUCGAAAAGCAGUGCCCACCCCACCUAUCAGUGCAUGUGAAAGAAUAUUAUUGGGUAAAGCAGAUGAAAAGCAUACAAUGCAUGGUGAAAUAUGUAUGAAGCAAAAAUUGAAUAACCAGAUUUCGUGAAUGUGUAUAGAAGCAAAGUGUGAGGAAGAAUGCAAGUCGAAACCAUGGAGUGAAAUAAAUUAAAAAAAAAGCAACUAAAAUCAGUAUGAGCAACAGCAGUGUAGUUGCAGGAAAAUAAGUAAGAUAUUACUGUGUAUAGUGGCCGAGAAGCGAAGGUGAAAAGCAAAGAGCCGAAGAGCAAAAUUGUUAAAUAAUUACCCGUGAAGCGGAAAGCGCGAAAAGGCGUCCCGCGAAGAAAGAAGAACAGGGAAGUGUCCAAAGUGAGCACGGAAAAGUGAGUGUGAGCCAGUGAGCGGUUCGAAGGUGAGAACAAAACAGAAAUCGCGUCAAAAUGUCUUUUCUAAACAACCUGAAGAAGGUCUUCCACCUUGGCGGUGGAGAGGCCAAGAAGAAACGCAUCUUCAACAACAUUCGGAUGGAUACGGAUCCGAAUGAUUUCUGGGAUAUGAUUGGCGAACUGGGAGACGGUGCGUUCGGCAAAGUGUACAAAGCUCAGAACAAGGAAACCAGGCAACUAGCAGCGGCCAAAAUGUGUACCUUGGAGGACGAGGAGAAUCUGAGUGAUCAUAUGGUGGAGAUAGAUAUUUUGUCGGAGAUUAAGCACUCGAACAUCGUGGAACUGUACGAAGCGUUCUCGAUCGACGAUAAGCUGUGGAUGCUGAUAGAAUAUUGUGAUGGCGGUGCCUUAGAUAGUAUUAUGGUUGAACUAGAGAAACCUCUGACCGAGCCACAGGUCGCAUACGUCUGUAAACACAUGGUUGAAGGACUGUACCACUUGCACAAGAACAAGGUGAUACAUCGCGAUCUGAAAGCCGGCAACGUACUGCUAACGAUGGACGGUGGUGUCAAGUUGGCGGAUUUCGGUGUUUCUGCGAAAAACAAGCACACACUGCAGAAACAUGAUACCUUCAUCGGAACGCCGUACUGGAUGGCACCGGAGCUGGUGCUGUGUGAAACGUUUCGAGACAAUCCGUACGACUUCAAGGUGGACAUUUGGUCGCUGGGCAUCACGUUGAUCGAGUUUGCACAGAUGGAACCACCGAACAGCGAAAUGUCUCCGAUGCGGGUGCUACUGAAGAUUCAAAAGAGCGAUCCACCCAAGCUGGAUCAACCCUCCAAGUGGUCGAAAAGCUUUAAUGAGUUUCUGGCAAAAGCUCUGGUCAAAGAUCCUCAACAACGGCCUUCCACCGAUGUACUUAUGGGGCUGCCAUUUAUCAGUGGCAAUUUGGACUCGAAGCCAAUCAAGGAUCUGCUGUUGGAAUACAAAGCUGAUGUCGUUGAGGAGGAACUGGUGGAUGAAGAAGCGGAGAAAGCUAAAAGACAAGCGAAGCGCAGAUCGCUCUAUCAGAGGGAACCCCGCAAUUCUGCGCUCCCACUCGACUUGGACGAUGACUCAUCGUCAUUACAAAGUCAAGAAACCUAUAAACUUCCAGAUACUCCCACAUCCUUAUCGAAAUCAUCCAGAGAUUCGAAAGAAUCUACACCCGUUCCUGUUGAAGAUGAUAGCAAAGCGAAAUUGGGAGCGGUUGCCACUGGCGCCACUGCCGCCGCUGCGCCAGCACAAUCGCCAUCUGCUGUCCCUAAUUCUUCGGCGCCCAGUUCUCAACCAGCAACAACAGCAGCAGCAGCAACAGCAGCGACUGUGGUUAGUGAUAGUAAUAGUAAUGUACAAAGUGAUUCCAAGAAAUCACCUACAACGGUUCCUGCUCCAGUAUUACCACCAGCCGCACAACGGUCCGCCAAAGAAAGCGAAGGUGAACCGAACGAAAGUUUAGUCAACACAAGUGGUAACAGUAGCAACAGCAGCAGCGCUGAGGUUGAAAAGAAAGGCGUUAUCAAAAAGGAGAAAGGACCGGCUCCUCCGCCUCCUCAAACUCCAUCGUCGCCAAGCAGUCGAAAUGCACCCAGUUCACUCGGAGUUGGUACGACUGCUGUGCCUACGGUUCCUCCUACACCUCCAGAAACCCCUCAAACCCCAGAAAUCAGAGGCGUUGAUCGCCCUGAUACCACAUCGAUUUCAAAACCACCAGCAUCUCUAUUGGUCAUGGAUCGUCAAGCGAGCAGCGAUGAACUGAUCAGAUCACCGAAGAAGGAACACGCUCCAUCGCCACCGAAGACUACGCCGAAAGACAGUAGCCCUUCUUCGUCGCCACAGCCAUCCGAAGACGCUGUGGUAGUGACAGGAUCCGCCAGCAGAGGGCUCACUCCAGACGAACUAUCCAGAGACGAUACAGCUGAACUACGAACCGACUCACCCAAACCCAAAGAACAAGAACUCGUAAAUACCACUGUUGCCAUUCCAAAACCACCCCUUCCGUUCGAUGACGAACCACAGGAUCUCUAUCAUCCCGUACCACCGCGACUAUUGCCCGACGACGAAAUUCGGAUAACAUCGACACCAAACAGCAAACAGACGACCAUCAACAACACCAACAACACCUCGACCAUUACGAUCAACAACGACACCGUACUCGCGGAUCCGUCCAACAGUCUUGCCACUAACGUCAGCCAGAUAACCGUAGUGACGAGCCACCCGCCGGUGAUAAUCGACAACUCGGUUGUACCGUCCGGUUCAUCCUCUUCGGCAUCGUCCACAAAGUCCUUCGGAUCCUCGCAACGAAGGUCACGUGUCAUCACGCCAAAGGCCAGCGGCGAUGAGGUAGUAAUCGUGUCGAACGAGCUGAACAAAACGCACGUGAAUGAAUCGUCCACGGAUGACGACUUCCAAUCGUUGGACAGCUUGGAAAACCUCUCACCCAAGUAUAGGAAACAAAUGCAACAGCAGCAGUUGCAGCGUUCCGGAAGCGGCCAAAUUGCACGUAAACUAGACGAAAGUGAGGUCCUGAUCGUGAGUCCGGUCUUCAUCGGCGAGGAUCAAGAUCAGCCGCAAGAGCAGGACGAUUUCAUCAAUGAUGAAUUGUAUUUAGGUAAUAAUAAUAAUAAUAAUCAUAGUAACAGUAAACUAUUGGACACUAGUCAUGUUUCGGUGGUCACCGUAGGCGAAGAGGAGAUCAAGGUAAAGGACUCUUCGCAUUUGAUCAACAGUAGUACCAGUCAUCUUCAACUGCAGCAACAGCAGCAACACCUACAGAAUCAUCACCACGAUUCCAUCAGCGAUCUGUCAAAUGUGAGUUGCGGUCCCAGCGAAUCGAGUGAUGAUGUCAAGGUGGUGGAUAUGAUGCUGUCCCAUCCGGUGGGCGGUACCACUAGCACUAGCAGCGUGAGCACCGGCAGUACGGUAACGGCUGCGGGUGGAUUUGCUCAACGGUCUCCUUCGGGUUCGUCGAUUUCAUCGCCGCUGAGAAGCGGUUCUAGUACUAAGUUGAACGGCGACUUCAAUCGAAGUCGGGAAGAUGUCAGUAUCAUAGUAAAUAAGCGAAAAGUUGUGGAAAAGCAAAGGAUUUCGCCCGACAGCAGCGUCGGAUCGAUGGACGGUGGAGGCUCGGUUCGAUCGGCCAGUACACCGCUACAUCAUCAUCUUCAACAGCAGCAACAACCGCAGCACCAACAGAACCAACAGCAUGUGGCCGGUGGUAAACAGCUGGAUCGUAGCGAUGCAGAGAGCAUAGCGACAACAACUAGUCACGAUAGCCGCGAACAGUCGGUAGACGAAGAGGUCCAACUUCGCCGUAAACCGCCAUCGGCUGAAGUCGAAGAGGACAAGGUGCCACCAAUAGUUAACAAUGUCAGAACAAAACCCAGCCAGCGCAACUUCAGUAAGGAAGAGAUUCACCUGCAAAAUUUGAAAAAGAAAACACGAAAACGAACGCGAAAGUUCGAAAUCGAUGGCGUCCAAGUCACGACCACUACCAGCAAGGUGAUUUACAGCGACGAGGAUAACAACAAACUGUACGACGAUCAUCUGUUCCGCAAGCAAGAAUUGCGGGAACUUAAAAUGCUUCAGAAGGCAGAGAAGAAGCAGUUCUACGAUCUACAGCAGAAGGAAGCGGUCGCCAAAGAGCAGCAGGAGAAGAAGUUCGAACAGGAACGUCUUCAACUGGAGCGUACCUUCGAGGCCGAUAUGGACGUUCUAGCUCGGCAACACCGGCAAACGGUGGAGAAGUACGAACAGCAACAAGAGACUGAACUUAGGAAUACAUCAAAGAAAAUUCGUGCCGAGCAAGAACGAGAUUUGAAAUUGUUCCGCGACAGCCUCAAGCAGGAAAUUAGACUGCUCAAGCAAGAAGUCGACCUGCUGCCAAAGGAGAAACGAAAAGAUGAGUUCCGCAAGCGGAAAACGGCGAUGGAAAUCGAGCACGAAGAGCGGGAAAAAAGCUUCCUGUCCACGCUCUCGGAAAACCACGAGCUCGCUUUGAGGCGAAUCAGCGAAAUCUAUCGUGAAAAGUUAUCCGCUGCCGACAAAGGCUACCUGCAGCAGAAGCAAACGGCAAUGCGAACUCGAGAGGCUAUGCUUUGGGAGUUGGAAGAAAAACAUAUUCACGACAAACAUCAAUUGUCGAAGCGACACGUGAAAGAUAUCUGCUUCAUGCAGCGGCACCAGAUGAUCAUUCGUCACGAAAAAGAGCUGGAUCAGAUAAAGAGGAUGAUUUCCCGCAAGGAGGACGAACUGCUGAAGCGGCAAACCAUUGAGAGGAGAGCCCUGCCGAAACGAAUCCGCGCCGAACGAAAGGCUCGUGACAUGAUGUUCCGUGAGUCGUUGCGAAUCUCGAUGACCACGGAUCCGGAGCAGGAACGGGAGAAGUUGAAGAAGUUCCAAGAGCAAGAGAAGAAGCGCUACAACCAGGAGCAAACCCGUUUCGAAACCAAGCACAUGAAACAGCUGGAAGAGCUGCGAGCUACCUCAGAUGGUUCCAUCAGGGAACUGGAACAGUUGCAAAACGAGAAACGCAAACAGCUGCUGGAGCAUGAAAGCGCCAAACUGCGCGAGUGCGACGAAGCACUGCAGAAGGAACUGCGCGAGUGGAAAUCGCAGCUUCUGCCGAGAAAACAGACUGUACAGAAAGAGCUCGACCGGAUGGUGAACGAGUACGAGCAAAAGUGGGGUCCAGUUGACCGACGUGAAUUCGAUGGUGAUUUUGUAGUUCCCCCGGAGAUUCGGAAUCGCACCAAUUCCCUUAACUCCCGUUCCUAUCGGCUACACGGUGGCCUGCUCAGCAUUUCCCGGUCCCGUACCUUCCUUGCGCUACCGGUGGCCAAUGGACGCAACAGUAUACACAGUUCGGUGCCAGAUUUGAGUCGUUCCGUUCCAAAUACACCCAAUUCGGCCCACAAGCUUUCCCUAGCAUCGUCCUACGAUUCGGUGUUGGAGGAAAAUGAGAAUGAGAACUUGGCACCGGUUCAGUCGGGUCAGGGCGACAACCAGUCGGCUAUAAAGUAUAUCUUCACUGAUGAUGGGGUACACUUGCGUAGGAAAUCCGAGGAUAUGCUUUCAGGGAGGAGAACUAAAAUACCAAUCAAAAAUAAUCCCAAUAGACAAUACCAGGAGAACGGUACUCGGCAUACUCCGAGCUUACCUCCGCUCCAAAGUCAUUCCAGACAAAAUUCCGAACCAACAAAUCGCGUUGUUCCCAUACGGGUUAAAAAGCCAAGCAAUAUUUUCGAAGCGAUGACGAAUCGAUCAUCGUAUGGAGUUACCUCGUACAGCACAAUGCCUAGAGACGGUAGCUAUGGUUGGGGAACAAGUCGUCAUGGCGCCAAUAAUGUUUCAUCCGAUGCCAAUAUUAGUAAAUUAACCACGUUCAGUUCAGCUAGAGGAGGUCUUCCAAUGCAAGCAAAUUCUGAACACCAAAACGGUGAUGGUGGAAUCCGACGCAGUGUGGUGCCCCCUUCGGCGGGCAUGAAACUUUCUCCUUCGACACCAAUUCUCUUGUCCCCGGGAAAAGAUGGCGACUCAGCCGCUUAGAACAGAUUGUCUUUAGAAGCUAGUCAGGAAAUCAAUAUCAUCUAGUUGACUUUUUUGAAUUUUGAAAAUUAUAGCUCAUUCUAUUUAAGCUUAACCUAAGGCAUUGGAACUGUGUAUACGUGCGUUCUCCCUCUCCCAAAAAUGUCCCCUUUCGUGAAAGUUUCUUCGAAUUUUUUAACUUUAAGCAAUUUAAUAAAAAAGAAAACAGAAAACUAGCAUCGCACAUUAUUGCACUAUCAUUACUAUUUUGCAACUGCUACUACAAAAAGCGGAAAUUCAACUGGCGUGGAAGUACUGAGUCAGCGGCACAUUAGUCAAUAAAAUGAACUGAAGGAAUAAUUUCAAGCUACUGCGUGCACUAAUUAAAUACACUCCUAACAACCCUAAACCGCAGAUUACGGUUGCUUACUAACAAUCGACUAACACCAUCGCUUAAGCGGAAGCUAUGAGUCACUAACCCGACGGAAGAAUUAGGAUCCAAACAAUGCUCGAGUCACGUUAAACCCACAAACAUUGUGCACCAUGGAUUGUUUCAUCAUUCUUCCUCGAAAGAAUAGAUAAUAUCAUUCCAACGGUAAACCGGAUCCACAACAAAGUAUAGAACCUAUAUGAAAAAACGACCGUUCGAGCGGAGAUAGAUAAGCGCCUGGAGGAAACAUUUGCCCAGCAGCACGAGGAAAUGGAACAACUGUACGGCAACAGUGUGGUACCGAUGCCACCGCAGUCUCCGCAG